rnacentral:rRNA from 1 species
ACGAACGCUGGCGGCGUGCUUAACACAUGCAAGUCGAACGGAAAGGCCUGCUUUCCCUUGUGGAUUGCGGGUGCUCGAGUGGCGAACGGGUGAGUAACACGUGAGUGAUCUGCCCCCAACUUGGGUAUAAGCCUGGGAAACUGGGUCUAAUUCCCGAUAGGACUGCAGGGUGGUGCCUGUGGUGGAAAACGAUUUUCUAGUGGUUGGGGAUGAGCUCGCGGCCUAUCAGCUUGUUGGUGGGGUAAUGGCCUACCAAGGCGGCGACGGGUAGCCGGCCUGAGAGGGUGGACGGCCACAUUGGGACUGAGAUACGGCCCAGACUCCUACGGGAGGCAGCAGUGGGGAAUAUUGCACAAUGGGCGGAAGCCUGAUGCAGCGACGCCGCGUGGGGAUGACGGCCUUCGGGUUGUAAACUCCUUUCGACCGCGAGGAAGCCACCUGGUUGGAAGGGUGGUGACGGUAGUGGUAGAAGAAGCACCGGCUAACUACGUG